AGAUUGAACGCUGGCGGCAUGCCUAACACAUGCAAGUCGAACGGGAGUAGCAAUACUCUAGUGGCGGACGGGUGAGGAAUACGUAGGAAUUUGCCCUUAAGUGGGGGAUAACCCGGGGAAACCCGGAUUAAUACCGCAUGACCUCGAAAGAGCAAAGUGGGGGAUCGCAAGACCUCACGCUUUUGGAGAAGCCUACGUCGGAUUAGCUAGUUGGUGAGGUAAUGGCUCACCAAGGCGACGAUCCGUAACUGGUCUGAGAGGAUGAUCAGUCACACCGGAACUGAGACACGGUCCGGACU
rnacentral:rRNA from 1 species